rnacentral:rRNA from 1 species
GGUCAAGCUACAAAGGGCUCACGGAGGAUACCUAGGCACACAGAGGCGAUGAAGGACGUGGUUACCUGCGAUAAGUCUCGGGGAGUUGGAAGCACACUUUGAUCCGGGAAUUUCCGAAUGGGGCAACCCCUUGUACGACCAACUGAAUAUAUAGGUUGGUGCGAGCUAA